GGGUNNUAAUAUUNAAACCUAAAGAAUUUGGCGGUUCUUAAACUUGCUAGAGGAACCUGUCCUGUAAUCGAUAGUCCACGAUCUUAUUCACCUGCUUUUGUUAUCAGCUUAUAUACCGCCGUUUAGUGAACUAAAUUAAUAGCUUCUCUAAAUUAGUUAGUUAAAUAAAUCAGGUCAAGGUGUAGCUUAUAAGCAGGAAGAGAUGGGUUACAAUAACAUUUUAUACAGAUUUAUUUUCUUAGGAUGGUAAUGAAGGUGGAUUUAGAAGUAAAUUAAUAAAAUUUGAAGUAAGCUCUUGAGAAUGUACAUAU
rnacentral:rRNA from 1 species